rnacentral:rRNA from 1 species
GGUUAAGCGACUAAGCGUACACGGUGGAUGCCCUGGCAGUCAGAGGCGAUGAAGGACGUGCUAAUCUGCGAUAAGCGUCGGUAAGGUGAUAUGAACCGUUAUAACCGGCGAUUUCCGAAUGGGGAAACCCAGUGUGUUUCGACACACUAUCAUUAACUGAAUCCAUAGGUUAAUGAGGCGAACCGGGGGAACUGAAACAUCUAAGUACCCCGAGGAAAAGAAAUCAACCGAGAUUCCCCCAGUAGCGGCGAGCGAACGGGGAGCAGCCCAGAGCCUGAAUCAGUGUGUGUGUUAGUGGAAGCGUCUGGAAAGGCGCGCGAUACAGGGUGACAGCCCCGUACACAAAAAUGCACAUGCUGUGAGCUCGAUGAGUAGGGCGGGACACGUGGUAUCCUGUCUGAAUAUGGGGGGACCAUCCUCUAAGGCUAAAUACUCCUGACUGACCGAUAGUGAACCAGUACCGUGAGGGAAAGGCGAAAAGAACCCCGGCGAGGGGAGUGAAAAAGAACCUGAAACCGUGUACGUACAAGCAGUGGGAGCACGCUUAGGCGUGUGACUGCGUACCUUUUGUAUAAUGGGUCAGCGACUUAUAUUCUGUAGCAAGGUUAACCGAAUAGGGGAGCCGAAGGGAAACCGAGUCUUAACUGGGCGUUAAGUUGCAGGGUAUAGACCCGAAACCCGGUGAUCUAGCCAUGGGCAGGUUGAAGGUUGGGUAACACUAACUGGAGGACCGAACCGACUAAUGUUGAAAAAUUAGCGGAUGACUUGUGGCUGGGGGUGAAAGGCCAAUCAAACCGGGAGAUAGCUGGUUCUCCCCGAAAGCUAUUUAGGUAGCGCCUCGUGAAUUCAUCUCCGGGGGUAGAGCACUGUUUCGGCAAGGGGGUCAUCCCGACUUACCAACCCGAUGCAAACUGCGAAUACCGGAGAAUGUUAUCACGGGAGACACACGGCGGGUGCUAACGUCCGUCGUGAAGAGGGAAACAACCCAGACCGCCAGCUAAGGUCCCAAAGUCAUGGUUAAGUGGGAAACGAUGUGGGAAGGCCCAGACAGCCAGGAUGUUGGCUUAGAAGCAGCCAUCAUUUAAAGAAAGCGUAAUAGCUCACUGGUCGAGUCGGCCUGCGCGGAAGAUGUAACGGGGCUAAACCAUGCACCGAAGCUGCGGCAGCGACGCUUAUGCGUUGUUGGGUAGGGGAGCGUUCUGUAAGCCUGCGAAGGUGUGCUGUGAGGCAUGCUGGAGGUAUCAGAAGUGCGAAUGCUGACAUAAGUAACGAUAAAGCGGGUGAAAAGCCCGCUCGCCGGAAGACCAAGGGUUCCUGUCCAACGUUAAUCGGGGCAGGGUGAGUCGACCCCUAAGGCGAGGCCGAAAGGCGUAGUCGAUGGGAAACAGGUUAAUAUUCCUGUACUUGGUGUUACUGCGAAGGGGGGACGGAGAAGGCUAUGUUGGCCGGGCGACGGUUGUCCCGGUUUAAGCGUGUAGGCUGGUUUUCCAGGCAAAUCCGGAAAAUCAAGGCUGAGGCGUGAUGACGAGGCACUACGGUGCUGAAGCAACAAAUGCCCUGCUUCCAGGAAAAGCCUCUAAGCAUCAGGUAACAUCAAAUCGUACCCCAAACCGACACAGGUGGUCAGGUAGAGAAUACCAAGGCGCUUGAGAGAACUCGGGUGAAGGAACUAGGCAAAAUGGUGCCGUAACUUCGGGAGAAGGCACGCUGAUAUGUAGGUGAAGCGACUUGCUCGUGGAGCUGAAAUCAGUCGAAGAUACCAGCUGGCUGCAACUGUUUAUUAAAAACACAGCACUGUGCAAACACGAAAGUGGACGUAUACGGUGUGACGCCUGCCCGGUGCCGGAAGGUUAAUUGAUGGGGUUAGCGCAAGCGAAGCUCUUGAUCGAAGCCCCGGUAAACGGCGGCCGUAACUAUAACGGUCCUAAGGUAGCGAAAUUCCUUGUCGGGUAAGUUCCGACCUGCACGAAUGGCGUAAUGAUGGCCAGGCUGUCUCCACCCGAGACUCAGUGAAAUUGAACUCGCUGUGAAGAUGCAGUGUACCCGCGGCAAGACGGAAAGACCCCGUGAACCUUUACUAUAGCUUGACACUGAACAUUGAGCCUUGAUGUGUAGGAUAGGUGGGAGGCUUUGAAGUGUGGACGCCAGUCUGCAUGGAGCCGACCUUGAAAUACCACCCUUUAAUGUUUGAUGUUCUAACGUUGACCCGUAAUCCGGGUUGCGGACAGUGUCUGGUGGGUAGUUUGACUGGGGCGGUCUCCUCCUAAAGAGUAACGGAGGAGCACGAAGGUUGGCUAAUCCUGGUCGGACAUCAGGAGGUUAGUGCAAUGGCAUAAGCCAGCUUGACUGCGAGCGUGACGGCGCGAGCAGGUGCGAAAGCAGGUCAUAGUGAUCCGGUGGUUCUGAAUGGAAGGGCCAUCGCUCAACGGAUAAAAGGUACUCCGGGGAUAACAGGCUGAUACCGCCCAAGAGUUCAUAUCGACGGCGGUGUUUGGCACCUCGAUGUCGGCUCAUCACAUCCUGGGGCUGAAGUAGGUCCCAAGGGUAUGGCUGUUCGCCAUUUAAAGUGGUACGCGAGCUGGGUUUAGAACGUCGUGAGACAGUUCGGUCCCUAUCUGCCGUGGGCGCUGGAGAACUGAGGGGGGCUGCUCCUAGUACGAGAGGACCGGAGUGGACGCAUCACUGGUGUUCGGGUUGUCAUGCCAAUGGCACUGCCCGGUAGCUAAAUGCGGAAGAGAUAAGUGCUGAAAGCAUCUAAGCACGAAACUUGCCCCGAGAUGAGUUCUCCCUGACUCCUUGAGAGUCCUGAAGGAACGUUGAAGACGACGACGUUGAUAGGCCGGGUGUGUAAGCGCAGCGAUGCGUUGAGCUAACCGGUACUAAUGAACCGUGAGGCUUAACCUU